rnacentral:misc_RNA from 1 species
UGGCUCCAGCAUCGAUGAAGAACGCAGCGAAACGCGAUAUGUAAUGUGAAUUGCAGAAUUCAGUGAAUCAUCGAAUCUUUGAACGCACAUGGCGCCUUCCAGUAUCCUGGGAGGCAUGCCUGUCCGAGCGUCGUUUCAACCCUCGAGCCCCCGUGGCCCGGUGUUGGGGAUCUGCCACGGCAGGCCCCUAAAUCCAGUGGCGGACCCGACGGGCCCUCUCCUUUGCGUAGUAGCAUUCGCCUCGCAUCGGGAGCCCCCGGCGUCCACGCCUCUAAACCCCCCUCAAGCCCGCCCCGGCGGCACCAAGGUUGACCUCGGAUCAGGUAGGAAUACCCGCUGA